AUCAGUCAGUGUCCAGUAUGCUCCAAAGCCUCCCUCUGUGUCAGUGAGUCCCUCUGCUGAGAUAGUGGAGGGAAGUUCAGUGACUCUGAACUGCAGCAGUGAUGCUAACCCAGCAGCUAACUACGUCUGGUACAAGGAGGAUAAAAACCAAGGCCUUGAAUCACUAUGUGAAGAGCCACAGCUGGUCUUCAGCUCCAUCCAGGCCUCAGAUUCUGGAGCGUAUUACUGUACAGCGGAGAAUGCGCUUGGCAAGAGGACAUCUGGACGCACUGGUAUUGAUGUGAGAUACGCUCCAAGACUUCCCUCUGUGUCAGUGAGUCCCUCUGCUGAGAUAGUGGAGGAAAGUUCAGUGACUCUGAGCUGCAGCAGUGAUGCUAACCCAGCAGCUAACUACACCUGGUACAA